GGCUGUGCUUUUUUCGUCUUCUGGAUUUUCUCAUCUGUAAUUCUUAAACAUAUUUAUACACCAGAUUUCUCUGAGCCUUAAUCCCAUGACCUAAGCUAUUAGGUUGUGUUCACCGAGUGUAAUGGCAUUUGUAUUAAUAUUUAGAGAGAUCAGAAGAAAUAUUUAAAAAAUUUAAUUAUUUCUGCGUUCAUCCAUUUCAUACCAAAUUACAGCAGUCAUAAAGCACUAACAUAAAUCAGCAACACUCACACACCAAUAUACAUGAUAGAUGACUACACAUAGACUGAUGCUUAAAUACUUGUUUGAGUGAUUAUUAAUUAUCUGUUAGUCCUUAUGGAUCGAUUACGAGUGGAAAUAUGGUUAACAUAAUUAAGUGGAUCAGUAAUAUUCGCCCCUAAAUAGAUAUAAAUCAUAUGUUAUACAGAAGACAGGGAGAAAAACUGAUAUAAAUAGAUCAUGGAGAUCUUCAUUCUUAAUGAAAUACAUAUAUGGAUCCAUACUAAUAAAGCAGGUACAGGUUUAAUGAUCUAUAUGCAUGAAGAGAUGGAUGGACCUGGAUCAUCAUUCAUCAGCAGAUGAUGAUGAUCACAUAAUUAAUCUACUAAUUAAGACAAACAACAGACAACUUACAUAAUUAAUAAAGCCACGUAUCCUCUUAACAUAAACUUAACUGAGAAGAGCUCAUUAUCCAGUACCACACCAUAAAUUAAAAAACUAGCUUAUGAAGAUUGGAAGGAAGGAGCUGAUGAUCGGACCGAGAUGCUUGAUUCCCCACACGACAGAGAGACAGACAGACAGACGAUGAUGAUAAAGCUUUAACUAAUUUGUUGGAACAGAGCUUAAUGAGGCCAGGAUCCGUGUUUGAGACAAAGCUAUAAGUUUGUUGAUAGGAGGAGGAGUAGUGGAAGAUGCAUGAUAGAACGAUGAGCUGGGCUGGGGAGGUUGGUGAAUGAAAAGGAAACAAGUAGGGCUGAGGGUGUAAUGAUGGUGGUGUGGCAAGUGCAGCCACAACAUCAUCAUCAUUUUGCCUAAUGUUUCUUUCUUGCUACCUGCCCUUUGUGUUUAUAUAUAUUAACGCCCCAUCUAUACUUUUUUAUUUAAUAUUUGUAAAUACACUAAUACAGUAUAUACUAUACAUAAUACAUGAGACCUAGUGACAUGAGUGCACACCCACGG
rnacentral:lncRNA from 1 species